rnacentral:rRNA from 1 species
UGAGGAAUAUUGGUCAAUGGGCGAGAGCCUGAACCAGCCAAGUCGCGUGAAGGAAGACAGUCCUAAGGAUUGUAAACUUCUUUUAUACGGGAAUAACGGGCGAUACGAGUAUUGCAUUGAAUGUACCGUAAGAAUAAGCAUCGGCUAACUCCGUGCCAGCAGCCGCGGUAAUACGGAGGAUGCGAGCGUUAUCCGGAUUUAUUGGGUUUAAAGGGUGCGUAGGUUGUUCGGUAAGUCAGCGGUGAAACCUGAGCGCUCAACGUUCAGCCUGCCGUUGAAACUGCCGGGCUUGAGUUCAGUGGCGGCAGGCGGAAUUCGUGGUGUAGCGGUGAAAUGCAUAGACAUCACGAGGAACUCCGAUUGCGAAGGCAGCUUGCCAUACUGCGACUGACACUGAAGCACGAAGGCGUGGGUAUCAAACAGG